ensembl:lncRNA
GUGGAGAGUAGAGGAGGAGGGGAGAGGAGGAGAGUAGAGGAGGAGAGUAGAAGAGGAUAAUAGAGGUGGAGAGUGGAGUAGGAGUGGGGAGGAGGAGAGUAGAGGAGGAGUGGGGAGGAGGAGAGUGGAGGAGGAUAAUAGAGGUGGAGAGUAGAGGUGGAGAGUAGAGGAGGAGAGUAGCGGUGGAGAGUAGAUGAGGAGUGGGGUGGAGGAGAGUGGAGGAGGAUAAUAGAGGUGUGGAGUGGAGGAGGAUAAUAGAGGUGUAGAGUGGAGGAGGAGUGGGGAGGAGGAGAGUGGAGGAGGAUAAUAGAGGUGUGGAGUGGAGGAGGAGUGGGGAGGAGGAGAGUGGAGGAGGAUAAUAGAGGUGUAGAGUAGAGGAGGAUAAUAGAGGUGGAGAGGAGAGGAGGAUAAAAGAGGUGGAGAGUGGAGUAGGAGUGGGGAGGAGGAGAGUGGAGGAGGAUAACAGAGGUGUAGAGUGGAGGAG